GAUGAACGCUGGCGGCGUGCUUAACACAUGCAAGUCGAACGGGAAACCUUUUAUUGAAGCUUCGGCGGAUUUAGCUGGUUUCUAGUGGCGGACGGGUGAGUAACGCGUGGGUAACCUGCCUUGUACAGGGGGAUAACAGUCAGAAAUGACUGCUAAUACCGCAUAAGCACACAGAGCUGCAUGGCUCAGUGUGAAAAACUCCGGUGGUAUAAGAUGGACCCGCGUUGGAUUAGCUAGUUGGUGAGGUAACGGCCCACCAAGGCGACGAACCAUAGCCGGGCUGAGAGGGUGAACGGCCACAUUGGGACUGAGACACGGCCCAGACGCCUACCGGAGGCAGCAGUGGGGAAUAUUGCACAAUGGGGGAAACCCUGAUGCAGCGACGCCGCGUGAAGGAAGAAGUAUCUCUGUAUGUAAACUUCUAUCAGCAGGGAAGAAAAUGACGGUACCUGACUAAGAAGCCCCGGCUAACUACGUGCCAGCCGCCGCCGUAAAAC
rnacentral:rRNA from 1 species